rnacentral:rRNA from 1 species
CUACCGGGGUUUCUAAUCCUGUUUGAUCCCCACGCUUUCGUGCCUCAGCGUCAAUCAUACCUUGGUAAGCUGCCUUCGCAAUCGGUGUUCUGUGACAUAUCUAUGCAUUUCACCGCUACUUGUCACAUUCCGCCUACCUCAAGUAUAUUCAAGCUCAUCAGUAUCAAAGGCACUGCGAUGGUUGAGCCACCGUCUUUCACCCCUGACUUAAUAAGCCGCCUACGCACCCUUUAAACCCAAUAAAUCCGGAUAACGCUUGGAUCCUCCGUAUUACCGCGGCUGCUGGCAC